rnacentral:rRNA from 1 species
UACGGGGGGGCAAGCGUUGUUCGGAAUUACUGGGCGUAAAGGGCUCGUAGGCGGCCAACUAAGUCAGACGUGAAAUCCCUCGGCUUAACCGGGGAACUGCGUCUGAUACUGGAUGGCUUGAGUUUGGGAGAGGGAUGCGGAAUUCCAGGUGUAGCGGUGAAAUGCGUAGAUACUGGGAGGAACACCAGUGGCGAAGGCGGGUCUCUGGGCAGUAACUGACGCUGAGGAGCGAAAGCGUGGGGAGCGAACAGG